GAGCUCGCUUCGCAGCACAUAUACUAAAAUCGGAAGGAUACAGAGGAGAUUAGCAUGGCCCCACACACGGAUGACCCGAAAAACACGCCAAAAAAACAGAAAGCAAAU
rnacentral:snRNA from 1 species